rnacentral:rRNA from 1 species
GAUGAACGCUAGCGGCAGGCCUAACAUAUGCAAGUCGAGGGAGAAGCCCUUCGGGGCAGAAACCGGCGCACGGGUGCGUAACGCGUAUGCAACCUACCUUUCACAGGGGGAUAGCCCGAAGAAAUUUGGAUUAAUACCCCAUAAUAUUAUUGGAUGGCAUCAUUUGAUAAUUAAAAUUACGAUGGUGAAAGAUGGGCAUGCGUCCUAUUAGCUAGUUGGAGUGGUAACGGCACCCCAAGGCUACGAUAGGUAGGGGUCCUGAGAGGGAGGUCCCCCACACUGGUACUGAGACAGGGACCAGACUCCUACGGGAGGCAGCAGUGAGGAAUAUUGGUCAAUGGUCGGAAGACUGAACCAGCCAUGCCGCGUGCAGGAGGAAUGCCUUAUGGGUUGUAAACUGCUUUUAUAUGGGAAGAAUAAGGAGUACGUGUACUUUGAUGACGUACCAUAUGAAUAAAGCAUCGGCA